UCCUAAAUAAAAUAGGAAAAACUAAACUCAAUUAAAAUAGGAAACUCAAAUAACUAAUCCUAGUUAGAAUAGGAAAACUAAAAUAAAAUCCUAAAAGUUGAAAAGCUUCCUAAACUAAUUUUAAAAUAACUCCCACAGCUGCGCCUAGCUAAAAUAGGAAGUCCAAAAUGAGUUAGGACUGUUGGAGACAUUUUCUGGAUCAAAAGUCACUGCUGCCCCCUACUGGACAGAGGGUUACACGCCCUGGUGGCAUGUUACUGGACUGUUACACG
rnacentral:misc_RNA from 1 species